AUUGAACGCUGGCGGCAUGCCUUACACAUGCAAGUCGAACGGGCUUUUGGGGUUUGCUCCAAAAGUUAGUGGCGAACGGGUGAGUAAUAUAUCGGAACGUGCCCUAGAGUGGGGGACAACCAGUCGAAAGAUUGGCUAAUACCGCAUACGAUCUAAGGAUGAAAGUGGGGGACCUUCGGGCCUCAUGCUCCUGGAGCGGCCGAUAUCUGAUUAGCUAGUUGGUGGGGUAAAGGCCCACCAAGGCGACGAUCAGUAGCUGGUCUGAGAGGACGAUCAGCCACAGUGUGACUGAGACACUGCCCGGACUACUACGGGAGGCAGGGGUGGGGAAUUUUGGACAAUGGACGCAAGCCUUAUCCAGCAAUGCCGCGUGAGUGAAGACGGCCUUCGGGUUGUAAAGCUCCUUUGUCAGGGAAGAAACGGUGGGGGCUAAUAUCCUCUGCUAAUGACGGUACCUGAAGAAUAAGCACCGGCUAACUACGUGCCAGCCGCCGCCGUAA
rnacentral:rRNA from 1 species